UACGGGGGAGGGCAGUCGUUGUCGGAAUUACUGGGCGUAAAGGGCUCGUAGGUGGCCAACUAAGUCGGACGUGAAAUCCCUCGGCUUAACCGGGGAACUGCGUCUGAUACUGGAUGGCUUGAGUUCGGGAGAGGGAUGCGGAAUUCCAGGUGUAGCGGUGAAAUGCGUAGAUAUCUGGAGGAAUACCGGUGGCGAAGGCGGCAUCCUGGACCGACAUUGACGCUGAGGAGCGAAAGCUAGGGGAGCAAACGGG
rnacentral:rRNA from 1 species